GACGAACGCUGGCGGCGUGCUUAACACAUGCAAGUCGAACGGAAAGGCCCUGCUUUUGUGGGGUGCUCGAGUGGCGAACGGGUGAGUAACACGUGAGUAACCUGCCCUUGACUUUGGGAUAACUUCAGGAAACUGGGGCUAAUACCGGAUAGGAGCUCCUGCUGCAUGGUGGGGGUUGGAAAGUUUCGGCGGUUGGGGAUGGACUCGCGGCUUAUCAGCUUGUUGGUGGGGUAGUGGCUUACCAAGGCUUUGACGGGUAGCCGGCCUGAGAGGGUGACCGGCCACAUUGGGACUGAGAUACGGCCCAGACUCCUACGGGAGGCAGCAGUGGGGAAUCUUGCACAAUGGGCGGAAGCCUGAUGCAGCAACGCCGCGUGCGGGAUGACGGCCUUCGGGUUGUAAACCGCUUUCGACUGUGACGAAGAGUGAGUGACGGUAAUGGGUAAAGAAGCACCGGCUAACUACGUG
rnacentral:rRNA from 1 species